rnacentral:rRNA from 1 species
UACGCGUGCCCCGAGCGUUAUCCGGAAUCAUUGGGCGUAAAGGGUGUGUAGGUGGCAGUGUUAGUCGAUUGUUAAAACCUGGGGCUUAACCCCAGAUGUGCGAUCGAAACGGCACAGCUAGAGGAUGCGAGGGAUGUAUGGAACUCAUGGAGUAGGGGUGAAAUCCGUUGAUAUCAUGGGGAACACCAAAAGCGAAGGCAGUACAUUGGCGCAUUCCUGACACUGAGACACGAAAGCGUGGGUAGCGAAUGGG